rnacentral:rRNA from 1 species
UGGGGAAUUUUGGACAAUGGGCGAAAGCCUGAUCCAGCAAUGCCGCGUGUGUGAAGAAGGCCUUCGGGUUGUAAAGCACUUUUGUCCGGAAAGAAAUCCUUGGCUCUAAUACAGUCGGGGGAUGACGGUACCGGAAGAAUAAGCACCGGCUAACUACGUGCCAGCAGCCGCGGUAAUACGUAGGGUGCAAGCGUUAAUCGGAAUUACUGGGCGUAAAGCGUGCGCAGGCGGUUUGCUAAGACCGAUGUGAAAUCCCCGGGCUCAACCUGGGAACUGCAUUGGUGACUGGCAGGCUAGAGUAUGGCAGAGGGGGGUAGAAUUCCACGUGUAGCAGUGAAAUGCGUAGAGAUGUGGAGGAAUACCGAUGGCGAAGGCAGCCCCCUGAGCCAAUACUGACGCUCAUGCACGAAAGCGUGGGGAGCAAACAGGAUUAGAUACCCUGGUAGUCCACGCCCUAAANGAUGUCAACUAGUUGUUGGGGAUUCAUUUCCUUAGUAACGUAGCUAACGCGUGAAGUUGACCGCCUGGGGAGUACGGUCGCAAGAUUAAAACUUAAAUGAA